GCCGGGGGCAGUGGCGCACACCUGUAAUCCCAGCAACUCAGGAGGCUGAGGCAGGGGGAUUGCAAGUUCAAAGUCAGCCUCAGCAAUUUAGUGAGGCACUAAGAAACUCAGUGAUACCCUUUCUCUA
rnacentral:sRNA from 1 species